AGGCCAUACCACCCUGAACCCUGAAUACACCUGAUCUCAUCUGAUCUUAGAAGCUAAGCAGGGUCUGACUUGGUUAGUACUUGGAUGGGAGAUGUCUUUGGUUAUCUAAGAAUGUGUUCUA
ensembl:rRNA 5S_rRNA 5S ribosomal RNA